UACGGAGGGGACUAGCGUUGUUCGGAAUUACUGGGCGUAAAGCGCACGUAGGCGGAUUUGUAAGUCAGGGGUGAAAUCCCGAGGCUCAACCUCGGAACUGCCUUUGAUACUGCAAAUCUCGAGUCCGGAAGAGGUGAGUGGAAUUCCUGGUGUAGCGGUGAAAUGCGCAGAUAUCAGGAAGAACACCCGUGGCGAAGGCGGCUCUCUGGGACGGUACUGACGCUGAGACGCGAAAGCGUGGGGAGCGAACAGG
rnacentral:rRNA from 1 species